rnacentral:rRNA from 1 species
AUGUGCCCCACCACCGUCCCGGUGACCGGCGCUGACAUGGACGACACCGUCCUUGCAAAGCUUCGUGCCUCGCGAGCCGCCAUCGUCUCGGUGCUCUCCGACGCUGCCGGGGCGGAAGCUGCCAUCGAUGAGGCCGGCGACCGCCUCACUGACCUCCUGUCCAGCGCCUCUUCGCCGUCCUCCUCCAACCUCCAGUCCAAGGCCGUGGCGGCGCGGGCACUGCGCGCGCGCAUCGACCGCGCCGUCGCCCCGGCCGAGCCACUCCUCGCGGCUCUGCGCCGGGUGUCUUCCCUCGCCGAGGAGGCCGCGCAGCUCCCGGAGAACCCGGCCGACACCGAGAGCGCCGUCGCCUUCGUCGACCGCGUGGACCAGAUGCGCGACGCCAUCGAGGACGUGGUGGCACGAGGGGACGAGGCCGUCCGGAGGGUGGAGGAGGCGGUCGGGUUCCUUGGCCGUACCACCACCAAAGCCGCCGGCCGCUGCCGGGUGCGGCGGCUCACCGAGGCGGCUUCCGCGCUGCGCGCUGUGUACGAGACGGAGGCGGAGGCGAUGCGCUUCGAGGGCCCGCUCGACGAGGCGCUGCUCGGCCUCCAGGAUCUCUUCGAGGCGGUCCUGCUCAGGCUCAAGCACGCCGCGCCUGCGGACGAUGCCGGCGCCGUGGGCGACACGGACGAGUAUGAACUCGGCACGGACGACGAGGUGGACGCCGCCGCGAGGAUGGCGAAGACGCUGGCCGGCAACGACUGCCUGGACAUCUGCGUCGACAUCUACGUCAAGGCGAGGUACAGGAGAGCGGCCAAGGCGAUGAUGCGGCUGGACCCGGCGUACCUCAAGGCUUACACGGCCGAGGCCAUCGACGGCAUGGAGUGGGAGGCGCUGGAGUCCUCCAUGGCGCUGUGGAGCCCGCACUUCCACGUGGCCAUCGCCUCCGUGCUCACGGCGGAGCGGCGGCUGUGCGCGCGGGUGCUCGCGCACCUCCCGCCGGCGGUCUGGCCCGAGUGCUUCGCCAAGAUCGCCGCGCGCAUCGUGGCCGCGUUCUUCCGCUUCGCCGACGGCGUGGUCGCGGCCGAGCGGGAGCCGCAGAGGCUGUUCAAGCUGCUCGACAUGUUCGACGCGGUGGCACGGGAGAGGGACCGCCUCGACGCGCUCUUCUCCGGCGAGUCGGCCACGCUGGUCGCCAUCCGUGAGCGAGCGAGCGAGGUGGAGCGCGCCCUCGCCCGUGCCGCGGCCGGCGUGUUCUACGAGUUCGGCCUCCGCGUUGAGACGCACUACAUCGCCGGCGCCGGCGCCGGGACCGACGCCGUGCACGUGCCCAAGAUCGUCCGCUACGCCGUGAACUACCUGAAGUGCCUCGCGUCCGACGACUACCGCGGGCUCAUGGACACCGCGCUGCGAGCGGAGCGCGAGCGCGGCGGCGCCGGCGACGGCGAUGAGGACGGGGGCGAAGCGGAGGGCGGAGGAGGCCGCGCGGCGCUCGCGGAGGCGGCGUCGAACGUGCUGGAGGCGCUGCACCGGCACGUGGAGGCGGCCCGCAAGGUGUGCGCGGACGCGGUGGCGGGGCACGUCAUGGCCAUGAACGCGUACUGGUACAUAUACAUGCGCACCCGGGGCAGCGACCUGUCGAAGCUGAUCGGCGAGGAGCCCAUUAAGCGGCGGUACAAGACCUCGGCCGAGGAGGCGGCGUGGGAGUACCAGGACGCGGCGUGGAGCCCGCUGGUCCGGCUCCUCGGCGGCAGCGGCGGCAAGGCGUGGCCGGCCGACGAGGCGCGGGAAAAGGCGGCGGCGUUCGCCGGCGUGCUGGAGGAGAGGGUGAGGAAGCACGGGGCGGAGUACAAGAUCCCGGACGGCGACCUACGGGCGCAGAUCAAGGCCGCGGUGACCAAGGCGGUGCGCGGCGCGUACGCCGGGUUCGUGAAGGCGAACGAGAAGGCGGUGGCUGGCGGGAGGCGGGAGCUCCUGCAGGUGGACGUCGUCGAGAGCAUGGUGAGGCGGGUGUUCGAGGAGAUGGGCGACGGUGAAGCCGGCGGCAAGGGCAUGGGCCGGACGAGGAGCAGCGGCCGGGUACGGCGGGAGAGCGGCAACAUCGACGGGUUCGAGGCCAACUAA